GAUGAACGCUGGCGGCGUGCCUAAUACAUGCAAGUCGAGCGAACGGACGAGAAGCUUGCUUCUCUGAUGUUAGCGGCGGACGGGCGAGUAACACGUGGAUAACCUACCUCUAAGACUGGGAUAACUUCGGGAAACCGGAGCUAAUACCGGAUAAUAUUUUGAACCGCAUGGUUCAAAAGUGAAAGACGGUCUUGCUGUCACUUAUAGAUGGAUCCGCGCUGCAUUAGCUAGUUGGUAAGGUAACGGCUUACCAAGGCAACGAUGCAUAGCCGACCUGAGAGGGUGAUCGGCCACACUGGAACUGAGACACGGUCCAGACUCCUACGGGAGGCAGCAGUAGGGAAUCUUCCGCAAUGGGCGAAAGCCUGACGGAGCAACGCCGCGUGAGUGAUGAAGGUCUUCGGAUCGUAAAACUCUGUUAUUAGGGAAGAACAUAUGUGUAAGUAACUGUGCACAUCUUGACGGUACCUAAUCAGAAAGCCACGGCUAACUACGUG
rnacentral:rRNA from 1 species